GGUGUGCACCUGUAAUCCCAGCUACUCAGGAGGCUGAGGCACGAGAAUCACUUCAACCUAAGAGGCAGAGGUUGCAGUGAGCUGAGAUCAUACCACUGCACUCCAGCCUGGGGUAACAGAGUGAUAACCUGCCCCAUUCUUCCUCUCAAGAAAAAGGAGUUAAAAAGUAGAUUGACCAGAAUGAAAAUAAAAAUAUGAUAUGUUGACAUUUAUUUGAUACAAAUAAUGCAAUCUUUAAGUUUUCUUACAACACUAGUUCUCUAUAUUAAAAUAGAAGAAAAUUUUAAAAUUGGUCAUCUCAACUUCUAUCUUAAGAAACUAGGGAAGAAAGCAAAUUAAACCCAAAAUAAACAGAAAAAGAGGUAAUAAUGAUAAAAUCAGAAGUCAGAAAAAUUUAAAAAAAGGAAAAACAAUGGAGAAAAGCUAAUAAAACCACAAGUUUGUUCUUUGAGAAAAAUCAAUAAAAUUGAUAAACCUCUAGCCAAACAGAUUGGAGGGAGAAAAAAACAGAGAAGGCAUAGGAAUAUUAGGAAUAAAGACAGGUGACAUCACUACAGAUUCUUCAGAAAUUAAAAGUAUAAUCAGUUACCAUUAAAAACAACUUUAUGCCAAUAAAUUGGGCAAGUUAGAUGAAAUGGACAGAUACCUUGAAAGACACUACAGUGGUUUGAAUGUGUCUUCCAAAGUUCAUGUGUUGGAAACUUGAUAUCCAAUGCAGAAAUGUUGGACAGUGGCACCUUUAAGAGGUGUUUACAUCAUGAGAGAUGUGUCUUUAUAAAUGGAUUAAUCCCAUUAUUGCAGAAAUGGUUUUGUUAUCAUGGGAGGGGGUCAUUAUAAAAAGACAAUUUUGCUGGGCACGGUGGCUCAUACUUGUAAUCCCAGCACUUUGGGAGGCCGAGGCGGGUGGAUCUUGAAGUCAGGAGAUCGAAACCAUCCUGGCUAACACGAUGAAACCCCAUCUCUACUAAAAAAUUCCAAAAAAAUUAGCUGGGCGUGGUGAUGGGUGCCUGUAGUCCCAGCUACUUGGGAGGCUGAGACAGGAGAAUGGCGUGAACCUGGGAGGCGGAGCUUUCAGUGAGCCGAGAUCACGCCACUGCACUCCAGCCUGGGCGACAGAGCGAGACUCCGUCUCAAAAAACCAAAACCAAAAACAAAAAAAGACAGUUUUGGCCCCUUCUUGUUUUCUCCUACCCUCUUUUGCCCUUCUGCCAUGGAAUGACACACAGCAAGAAGGCCCUCACCAGAUGCUAGCACAUCAAUCUUGAUUUCCCAGCCUCCAGAACCAUUAGUCAAUAAAUUCUUGUUUAUUAUAAA
rnacentral:lncRNA from 1 species